CAGUCGCCGCGGUAAUACAGAGGGUGCAAGCGUUAAUCGGAAUUACUGGGCGUAAAGCGCGCGUAGGUGGUUUGUUAAGUUGGAUGUGAAAGCCCCGGGCUCAACCUGGGAACUGCAUCCAAAACUGGCAAGCUAGAGUACGGUAGAGGGUGGUGGAAUUUCCUGUGUAGCGGUGAAAUGCGUAGAUAUAGGAAGGAACACCAGUGGCGAAGGCGACCACCUGGACUGAUACUGACACUGAGGUGCGAAAGCGUGGGGAGCAAACAGGAUUAGAUACCCCGGUAGCCCUGUCUCUUAUACA
rnacentral:rRNA from 1 species